rnacentral:rRNA from 1 species
AGUUAUAUGCUUGUCUCAAAGAUUAAGCCAUGCAUGUCUAAGUACACACGAAUUAAAAGUGAAACCGCAAAAGGCUCAUUAUAUCAGUUAUGGUUYAUUAGAUCGUUAACAGUUACUUGGAUAACUGUGGUAAUUCUAGAGCUAAUACAUGCAUUAUAAGCACGGACCUUUUGGAACGUGUGCUUUUAUUAGGCUAAAACCAAGCGAUUCUUUCGGGAAUCGUUGACUGGUUGAACUCUAGAUAACUUGCAGAUCGUAUGGUCUUGAACCGACGACAGAUCUUUCAAAUGUCUGCCCUAUCAACUAUUGAUGGUAGUAUCUAGGACUACCAUGGUUGCAACGGGUAACGGGGAAUCAGGGUUCGAUUCCGGAGAGGGAGCCUGAGAAACGGCUACCACAUCUAAGGAAGGCAGCAGGCGCGUAAAUUACCCACUCCCAGCACGGGGAGGUAGUGACGAAAAAUAACAAUACAGGACUCGUAUCCGAGGCCCUGUAAUUGGAAUGAGUACACUUUAAAUCCUUUAACAAGGACCUAUUGGAGGGCAAGUCUGGUGCCAGCAGCCGCGGUAAUUCCAGCUCCAAUAGCGUAUAUUAAAGUUGUUGCGGUUAAAACGUUCGUAGUUGAACUUGUGCUCCAUACGGGUAGUACACCUAUAAAUUGGGUCUGUACAUUACUCUAUGGUAUGUGAGCGUAUUACCGGUGGAGUUCUUAUAUGCAAUGGUACUUGUAUUAUUGUAUAUUCCUCCUAUUCAAACCUACUUCAGUGCUCUUCAUCGAGUGUUGUUGUGGGCCGGUACAAUUACUUUGAACAAAUUAGAGUGCUUAAAGCAGGCUUCAAAUGCCUGAAUAUUUGUGCAUGGAAUAAUGGAAUAAGACCUCUGUUCUACUUUCAUUGGUUUAUAGAUCAAGAGG